UUUUCGUUUCUGUUGUGGACGAGUGUGGCAGUGUAGCCAGUCCCUUGUUUUGUUUUUCUCACUCUGAGUAUGGGAGCGCUGCCCUGAAUCUUUCGUCUGCAUUUUGGUAACACUAAAAGACACAUGUAAGAAUCACAAAUGCUUUUGUGUGAGGACGUCAACCUGUCCACUCUUCAUUUUGGCUAUUUUACCAAAUUAUUAAUAUAAAUGAUUAUCUAUCCCUUGCAAGGGAUCUAGUCCAGGGGAUCUAGUCCAGGAGUUCUGAAGACUAGGUAAAUUAAUCAAGUCCAGGAGACUAGGCCUGGGAGAAAUUUAGCAUGAUGUACUGAGUAAUAAAGAAACACGCUGAG